rnacentral:misc_RNA from 1 species
CUGAGACGUAGGACAGGCCUUCAUAGUCGUGACCACCGCUUCUCACCCUUAUUUGAAGGCCAUACCUCCUGGAGCAGAUGACGGAUGCUGUCACAUGGGAUUCGCUAGUGGGGGAGAUGAUGAGCAAGGGCUUCUUGUUGGUGGUGGAGUCGAGGAAUCGAGCGUUUUCAGCGGAGAAUUGGAGGACUGUCUGGUAGGCAGCGGUGUUGGCAG